rnacentral:rRNA from 1 species
GAUGAACGCUAGCGGGAGGCCUAACACAUGCAAGCCGAGCGGUAGAAAGUAGCUUGCUACUUUUGAGAGCGGCGUACGGGUGCGGAACACGUGUGCAACCUGCCUUUAUCUGGGGAAUAGCCUUUCGAAAGGAAGAUUAAUGCCCCAUAACAUAUUGAUUGGCAUCAAUUAAUAUUGAAAGCUCCGGCGGAUAGAGAUGGGCACGCGCAAGAUUAGCUAGUUGGUGAGGUAACGGCUCACCAAGGCGAUGAUCUUUAGGGGGCCUGAGAGGGUGAUCCCCCACACUGGUACUGAGACACGGACCAGACUCCUACGGGAGGCAGCAGUGAGGAAUAUUGGACAAUGGGUGCAAGCCUGAUCCAGCCAUCCCGCGUGAAGGAUGACGGCCCUAUGGGUUGUAAACUUCUUUUAUACAGGGAUAAACCUACUUACGUGUAAGUAGCUGAAGGUACUGGAUGAAUAAGCACCGGCUAACUCCGUG